GCCCCGCCUGCUCUGGGCGCCCCGAGAGAGUCUCCCAGCAGCUAGGCAGGGGCUGCGCUCGGGCACCGGGAGUCUGGCCCUCUUCUUCUGUGCUUGGGCACCUGUGUGGCCUCGGUUGGCCCAUCCCUCAAAAAAAAGCUGAGCUCAGCACCAGGAUCCCCAGCAAAGGUGGGGAGGGGCUUCCCAGUGGAAGAGACCCACUGAGGAUGCCCAGGGACCGGUUUGGGCUGGACACCUGAGCAUUCUCGGGACAGAUGUGGAGUCCAGCGCAAAAGAAGCGAGGGACUUUGUGCCCAGGAAACAGCUGCACUCCCAGAGGUGGACCGGCUGGUGCGGCGCUUCUCCCCCACCGGCGUCUCGCACUACGGCGUCCUCCGGGUGGACCCCCACGCGCGCACUCUCUAUGUGGGCGCCAGGAAUGCCAUCUUUGCCCUCCCCUUGGGGGCCAUCGACCAGCGUCCCAAGAAGAUUUCCUGGACGGCUCCAAAGGCUCACCAGGAUUCCUGCAUGCAGAAGGGGAAGGAAGAGGCA